CACUCCUCACCUAUAGGCCCAUCUCUCCUCCUGAUGCUGCCCUCCAGCCUCCACCCAAGAUCCGCCUGGUCGCCGCUCCGUCUAGCCAGCCGGGAGGUGCGUGCAGGCUACACCAUGAAUCAGGAGAGCCGCGUGCCAUCGUCUCCUUAUGGAUCUUCCUCGGCUCCGGCUCUGUCCCUAGCCUCCAAGGCCGGAUACAUGGUGGUCGCCUUCCCGUGGUCCAAGGUGGCAGGCCUGCAGUUGGCGCUGGAUAGCUCGCUGCCCUGCUGCUCUCCAUCCUAAUCGACUCCCCUCGGUCUUCCCCAACUUCGGCCCCGACAACAGGCCCCCUUCAUCUGCCUUUCCUCUCCUCUAGGGUGCGUGGUUUCCUUGUACGAGUAGAUGAGUUAUUUGUACUAGAAUUUCAUCAGAUCUAAAGUUGGGUGCAUAUGCUACAAAUUGUUAAUCUAAGAAAAUAUUCAGGCACUACGUGAAUGUCUGUGCUAAGGACACAAAUUUGGGGAUCCUUGCGUGAAUGUGCAAGGAAUUCAGAAUCUACAUCUUUAAUAUGACAUGGUAUUUUUGUUCUUAAUCUCUCCAUUACGUUGUGUUCCAUUUUUCUCAAUGGAAGUAAUUGUGGUUUAAUUUCACAUGAUUUUUAAACAAAUAAACACAUGAUGUGCUGAAUAGCUGACAUACAGAGAAAAUGGUACAGCUUGAUGACUAUUGUAGUACUAAAUUAUUCUCAGGUAUUUAUUGUUCAUUUUGUGAUAGUUUUCUCUCUCCUAAAAGUAAAACGAAUCAUUUUUAAUUCUUUGAACAAGUUUGCCUAAAGUAGGGCGCUCAGCCAUUGAGGCAUUAUCAAUUUCUUUUAGAAGCUUCGCAAAAUCUGCUCUUGUACUAAAGAAAUCUAAUGUAGAUUUGUUAGCCUCAUAGGGUACUAUAUGCUGAACACAUGAUAUUAAACAUAGAGUAAAUUGCACUAUGAAGUGAGUAUGUAUGUAGUAUCCACACAGGAUUGCCAUUUUUGGAGCUAUUGCUGGGAUCAUCAUGGAUUGGGAUGCAUUCUGAUAAUAAGAUAUUAGGUAUUGAUAUGUGAUAUGUAUGCCACACUUGACUUCAUCAUCCUUUGUUUUCAGAUGUAUUCUUUAGGCACACAUUAAUGUGGUAGCUUGGUCAUAUUCUGUACCUAAUUUAGUCACCACAAUACUCGGGUUUUUUCCCCGAAUCUCACUAUAAAGAACUUCCACUUGCCAUCUCUAUAUGGAUUUUCUUUUUGCUACUGAUUUUGGCUAAAGGUUUUUCUGCUCUCAUCUCUAUAUGGAUAUGCUUUUUUUCAGGUUAGUAGUUUAGGAGUUCCUGCCAACACUGGUUUUUGGAAGUUAUACUCACUUCACCAGUUGGGCUUAACAAGGACAUAAUUAAUUCUCUGUUGGUAAUUAGAAGGAAAAAAAAUCUGGUUGGAGAAAACAUCUCUUUUGCUUAAUUGUUUGCUUCAUAAUUUUAGUAAUAUUUUUUUUCAUUUUUUUAGGUUAGUAGUAUGGGAGUACCUGU
rnacentral:lncRNA from 1 species